UAAGAAAUAAAAUAAAAAAAAUCAUGUAAUACUACAUCAGUGUUAUGUUAUUGUAUGACUUCAUCUUUUAUACAGUCGGGUUCGGGGUUUCGGGCAGCCAUGGCGAAUUUCGGCAAGAUUUUACCCCAGUGAAAAAGGCUUGUAAUCCACAGUGAUCAGCUAAGAUGUUGUUUCACUGGAUUAUUUAAUUGGGCAUAUAAUUGGAUAAUUCUGGAUCAGCUGAGAUGUUAUUUCACUGGAUUAUUUAAUGGAUAGACUUAUUGGGCAUAUAUUUGGAUAUCUCUGUCCUCAACCUGGAAGAUAUGUAUUGUUCCUAACCAUCUAUAUAAUCCAUUCUCUAUGAAGUUCAGACUGUCUGCUCUUCCUUUGGAAAUACACAGUUAUAGUCAACCAACAUAGAAACACACAAACUUGAAGGAUUCUCUAGUGAGGGCUUAUGGAAAUGAUCUAUGUCUACUCUCAGAAUGGUGAAAGACUAUCAGAUUAUGCAAAGACUAACAGAAUAUCCUCUCUUGGAACACUGAAACAAGAAAAUCAAACAGGAGAUGGAUGGAGGAUUUAA